rnacentral:rRNA from 1 species
CCUUGCGCUUUUAGAGCGGCCGAUGUCUGAUUAGCUAGUUGGUGAGGUAAAGGCUUACCAAGGCUUCGAUCAGUAGCUGGUCUGAGAGGACGACCAGCCACACUGGGACUGAGACACGGCCCAGACUCCUACGGGAGGCAGCAGUGGGGAAUUGNNNNNNNUGGGGGAAACCCUGAUCCAGCCAUGCCGCGUGAGUGAAGAAGGCCUUCGGGUUGUAAAGCUCUUUCAGCCGGAACGAAACGGUCACGGCUAAUACCUGUGAUCACUGACGGUACCGGAAGAAGAAGCACCGGCUAACUACGUGCCAGCAGCCGCGGUAAUACGUAGGGUGCGAGCGUUAAUCGGAAUUACUGGGCGUAAAGCGUGCGCAGGCGGUUUUGUAAGUCAGAUGUGAAAUCCCCGGGCUUAACCUGGGAACU